rnacentral:rRNA from 1 species
GUGUCAGCAGCCGCGGUAAUACGGAGGGAGCUAGCGUUGUUCGGAAUUACUGGGCGUAAAGCGCACGUAGGCGGCUUUUUAAGUCAGGGGUGAAAUCCCGGGGCUCAACCCCGGAACUGCCCUUGAAACUGGGAAGCUAGAAUCUUGGAGAGGCGAGUGGAAUUCCGAGUGUAGAGGUGAAAUUCGUAGAUAUUCGGAAGAACACCAGUGGCGAAGGCGACUCGCUGGACAAGUAUUGACGCUGAGGUGCGAAAGCGUGGGGAGCAAACAGGAUUAGAUACCCCUGUAGUCC